GGCUUUUGAUGAUAUACCCAUGUNUCAGUUGAUGGCCCUAUGAAGUUGUGCUGGCCUUGGUGGCCCAUUCAGGGGAAUUUGUUUCAGUGGCCCACAGAGGCCUGGGSUGGGAGGGGCAAGGGUGAUGUCCAACAUACUGCCCCCACGCAGAUCCGUGUGUCCUCCUCAGGUUCACGGUGUGAGGGCUGGGUGAGGACGAUGAUCCCGCUGCGGGUCCACCUCGUGGAAUGCUGUGACCUCUCAGGCACGAUGGGACUGCUCGGGGUGAAGGAUAUUACAGCGCCAGUGGUGAAAUACUCAGACCGCUGUAGGAUCAACUGCAGCGAAGGCGCUCUGCAAGUGCGUGUUNGUCAAUCCAGAAUGAGAGUGUGGGGAUCAAAGAUGAUCAGACACCGUCGUAGUCCACCNCCGUAAACCCUGCCAGCUCAGUGUUGAAGGUGCAUUGCUUCUCAGGACUCCUCCAGCGCUAUGCCCCCAGCAACGAGAAAUCCANAAGCCUGUGGGUUCAGGGGGAAGUACUGUCGCAAGGCUGAAACNNAAAGGAAUUGACGGAAUGGCACCACCAGGCGUGGAGUAUGCGGCUUAAUUGACUCAACACGGGAAUGUUNCCAGGUCAGCACACUGCAAGGAUGGACNGAUUGAGGGCUNUUUCUCGAUUCUCUGGAUGGUGGUGCAUGGCCGCUCCNGAUUGGUGGGGUGACUUGUCUGGUUGAUUCCGAUAACGAGUGAGAUCUCUGCCUCCCAGUNGCCCCGGCCUCGCAUUUGGUAGAGUGGGCCUGGGUGGNNCGCAGUGGCUGCCCCAAUCCUGGUGNCAGCACCACUGUNUCACNUCACCCUGCGUYCCUCGAGAGGCCAUGGGCAUUUCCGCGGCUUCUCUGAGGUGCUGUGUGUGCUGCCAAACACAUGCAUGCCAGAGCCAACAGCAGGUCUGUGAUGCUCCCAGAUGUCCUGGGCCGCACGCGCACUACACUGCCCUGGUGAAUGAGUCUUGCAUCUGCCUCGUACUGUGCCCUGAGUGGAAGUGCUCGGGAAACCUGUUGAGCCCAUGCUGUCUGGGCNUNCUGGGGAUAGCUGAUUGCAACUGUCUGCCUUGAACGAGGAAUGCCUAGUAAGUCCCAGUCAUCAGCUGA
rnacentral:rRNA from 1 species